rnacentral:rRNA from 1 species
GGUGGCGAGUGGCGAACGGGUGAGUAAUAUAUCGGAACGUACCCUGGAGUGGGGGAUAACGUAGCGAAAGUUACGCUAAUACCGCAUACGAUCUACGGAUGAAAGUGGGGGAUCGCAAGACCUCAUGCUCGUGGAGCGGCCGAUAUCUGAUUAGCUAGUUGGUAGGGUAAAAGCCUACCAAGGCAUCGAUCAGUAGCUGGUCUGAGAGGACGACCAGCCACACUGGAACUGAGACACGGUCCAGACUCCUACGGGAGGCAGCAGUGGGGAAUUUUGGACAAUGGGCGAAAGCCUGAUCCAGCAAUGCCGCGUGAGUGAAGAAGGCCUUCGGGUUGUAAAGCUCUUUUGUCAGGGAAGAAACGGUGAGGGCUAAUAUCCCUUGCUAAUGACGGUACCUGAAGAAUAAGCACCGGCUAACUACGUGCCAGCAGCCGCGGUAAUACGUAGGGUGCAAGCGUUAAUCGGAAUUACUGGGCGUAAAGCGUGCGCAGGCGGUUUUGUAAGUCUGAUGUGAAAUCCCCGGGCUCAACCUGGGAAUUGCAUUGGAGACUGCAAGGCUAGAAUCUGGCAGAGGGGGGUAGAAUUCCACGUGUAGCAGUGAAAUGCGUAGAUAUGUGGAGGAACACCGAUGGCGAAGGCAGCCCCCUGGGUCAAGAUUGACGCUCAUGCACGAAAGCGUGGGGAGCAAACAGGAUUAGAUACCCUGGUAGUCCACGCCCUAAACGAUGUCUACUAGUUGUCGGGUCUUAAUUGACUUGGUAACGCAACUAACGCGUGAAGUAGACCGCCUGGGGAGUACGGUCGCAAGAUUAAAACUCAAAGGAAUUGACGGGGACCCGCACAAGCGGUGGAUGAUGUGGAUUAAUUCGAUGCAACGCGAAAAACCUUACCUACCCU